AGCCUGAUGCAGCCAUGCCGCGUGUGUGAAGAAGGCCUUCGGGUUGUAAAGUUGCGAGGAGGAAAGGUUACUGGCUAAUAUCCAGUAGCUGUGACGUUACUCGCAGAAGAAGCACCGGCUAACUCCGUGCCAGCAGCCGCGGUAAUACGGAGGGUGCGAGCGUUAAUCGGAAUUACUGGGCGUAAAGCGUGCGCAGGCGGUUUGUUAAGCGAGAUGUGAAAGCCCCGGGCUCAACCUGGGAACUGCAUUUUGAACUGGCAAACUAGAGUCUUGUAGAGGGGGGUAGAAUUCCAGGUGUAGCGGUGAAAUGCGUAGAGAUCUGGAGGAAUACCGGUGGCGAAGGCGGCCCCCUGGACAAAGACUGACGCUCAUGCACGAAAGCGUGGGGAGCAAACAGGAUUAGAUACCCUGGUAGUCCACGCCGUAAACGAUGUCUACUCGGAGUUUGUCUUAACAGGGCUCUCAAGCUACGCAUUAAGUGACCGCCUG
rnacentral:rRNA from 2 species